AGAGAUGAUCGGAUGAUCGCUGACCCUUUCUAGGGUUGGAGGAAAGUCCGAGCUCCAGAGGGCAGGAUGGUCGCUAACGGCGACUGGGGGCGACCCUAAGGAAAGUGCCACAGAAAAUAUACCGCCCCGAUGGUUUUCGGGGUAAGGGUGAAAAGGUGAGGUAAGAGCUCACCAGUUUUCCGGGUGACCGGGAAAGCUUGGUAAACCCCAUCCGGAGCAAGACCAAAUAGGGAAACGUUUGAGGGCUGCCCGUCCGAAGUUUCCGGGUAGGUUGCUUGAGGCAGCAGGCAACUGUUGUCCCAGAUGAAUGAUCAUCGCCCCUUCAAGGGAAACCUGGUGGGGGAACAGGACUCGGCUUACAGAUCUCCUCUUACA
rnacentral:RNase_P_RNA from 1 species